GAUGAACGCUGGCGGCGUGCCUAACACAUGCAAGUCGAACGAAGCACUUUGAAUAUUUCGGUAUGAGAAGUGACUGAGUGGCGGACGGGUGAGUAACGCGUGGGUAACCUGCCUCAUACAGGGGGAUAACAGUUAGAAAUGACUGCUAAUACCGCAUAAGCGCACAGCUUCGCAUGAAGCAGUGUGAAAAACUCCGGUGGUAUGAGAUGGACCCGCGUCUGAUUAGCUAGUUGGUGAGGUAACGGCCCACCAAGGCGACGAUCGGUAGCCGGACUGAGAGGUUGAACGGCCACAUUGGGACUGAGACACGGCCCAG
rnacentral:rRNA from 1 species